rnacentral:rRNA from 1 species
GCCUGGGGAGUACGGUCGCAAGGCUGAAACUUAAAGGAAUUGGCGGGGGAGCACUGCAACCUGAGGAUUGUGCGGUUUAAUUGGAUUCAACGCCGGAAAACUCACCAUAGCCGACGGACAAAUGAAGGCCAGUGUAAUGAACUUGCUGGAUUGUUCGAGAGGUAGUGCAUGGCCGUCGUCAGUUCGUACCGCAAGGCGUUCUGUUAAGUCAGAUAACGAACGAGACCCUCAUCUCUAUUUGCUAACUGAAUCUCCGGAUUCAGCGCACUAUAGCGAGACCGCUGGCGCGAAGUCAGAGGAAGGCGAGGGCAACGGUAGGUCAGUAUGCUCCGAAUGCUAUGGGCUACACGCGCAAUACAAAGGACGGGACAAUGGGCUGCAACUCCGAGAGGAACGACGCUAUCCCGAAACCCGUUCGUAGUUCGGAUUGAGGGCUGUAACUCGCCCUCAUGAAGCUGGAUUAGGUAGUAAUCGCGUCUCAAUAGGGCGCGGUGAAUAUGCCCCUGCUCCUUGCACACACCGCCCGUCAAACCAUCUUAGUUGGGGGUGGGUGAGGCUGCCUUUAAUGGGGUAUUCGAGCCUGCCUUCGACAAGGAGGGUUAAGUCGUAACAAGGUAUCUGUAGGGGAACCUGCAGAUG